UACGGGGGGGGCAAGCGUUGUUCGGAAUUACUGGGCGUAAAGGGCGCGUAGGCGGCCGAUCAAGUCAGGCGUGAAAGCCCCGGGCUCAACCUGGGAAUGGCGCUUGGGACUGGUUGGCUUGAGUUCGGGAGAGGAGAGUGGAAUUCCCAGUGUAGAGGUGAAAUUCGUAGAUAUUGGGAAGAACACCGGUGGCGAAGGCGGCUCUCUGGACCGAGACUGACGCUGAGGCGCGAAAGCGUGGGGAGCAAACAGG
rnacentral:rRNA from 1 species